UCGCGACCCCAGGUCAG
rnacentral:rRNA from 2 species